ensembl:lncRNA
UGAACUUAGCUGCCUGACAGUGCAAAGCUCUUUGCUUCUAUAACAGCUACUAUAAGAUUGUCACAGCUGUUCCCCAAGCCAUGGCUUACCUGGCUUACCGGUUAGGCCACAUGUUACUGCUUAGAAGAAUAAUCCAGGAAUAUUCAGCAGAACAAGCUGAGAAAAGCAGCACCACUGAGCUGCCAGCUACAGAGGGUACUGAGUAAGAGGAAAAAAAAGACAAGCAGAUGGAAUGAAUAGAUACUGGUCACCAUGACUAGACCCAGGAACAGCUUUGGGCCCAGGAAAUGGGUGUUUUUCAGCAUCUGAAGCAGAACUGCAGCCUGAGGGUUGUCUGCCAAGCCUCUGUCUCACCAUCUGUGAGACUGAAGAUGCAGAAAUGCAUGAUACAGGUUUUUGUCUGCCGCCUUUAUCUAGACAUUGGGAACUAUUUAUACUUCUCGCUUCCAUUAAUCUUUUCCCACUUCUGUGUUACAACAAGCAGAAAUAGCUUGUUGUAGGGAACCAUAUGUGUCAAAGAUUCUCACAAGAGCAAGCUGUAACCCAUCGUCGUGGCUCAUUUUUUGCACUGAUGUCUAGCAAAGCAAAUUCAGUCCCUUCGGCUCCUAUGACUACUGAGCAAUGCGCCCUCUUCCCUGGCCAAGUUCUGCAGCCCAGUCAUCACCUCUUCUGCUCUGAAACAUCUGCUUCUGCCACCACUCUGAUACUGGUACAAAUGUUCAUUCUUCAGUCUUCCAGCAAUUAUCUGAGCACUUUUUCUCAUGCUACCAUUUCUGUAAAGAAGGAGCUCCCUGGGAACAACCACCAAGCCACUAAAUCUGUCUUCAUGACACUUUACUAUCUGCAGAUGGUGUGUGACAGACUCUACUUUUCCAAAUGAGCAUAUAAUCUUUGGGAAUUUUUUUUUUUUUGACUGCAUCUAUGCACUAUAUUCAUGAUACCCCCACUAUGAACAGAAUAUAGAUUUAACAUUUUAUCUUAUCUCAAGGACUGAAAUUCACAAUCAACCAUUAAGUAUAAAUAAUAUAAGAAUACUUGCUUUGAUACUGGUCAAAUAACAGCUUCAAAGGGCACUGGUAUCGAGGGAAAGAUUCCUGUGGGCAUCACGCAAGGUCAGUAGAUUCUAGAUCCAAGUCAUGGUCUAAAUUAGCACUUUUUUUUUUUUAACACAUGAAUUUAGAUUGAUAAUAUUUAUACGUCACUCAUUUGCCACUGCAAAGCCGCCUGCAUAACAACAGGACAACACUUUUGUCACCAAGCAGUGAUUGUAUCUUCUAAAUCUUGUCAGUGACUUCAGAGCCUGCAGCUGGAUGUUUAAAGGUUCCAAGCCAGUUAGCGACUGAUGCAGCUGCUGUUUGCACUGAAUUUUGAAAAGAACAUGAUUAAUUCAGUCCAGGGCUGCAAUGAAGGUUAGUAACACUGUAGAUGGAAAUACCUGAAUUAUUUUAAAACUGCGGUUGUAGUCUCUGUAUUUUUCAAGAAGGUUUCCAUCUAGUGAGGGUAAUCAAGCUCAGAGGUUUGAUUCCCCUCUCUCCUACCAGGAGUGAUACACAGUGUAAUGUAUGAAUACAAAUGUAGCAGAAGAUACAAACUGGUCCAACUGCUUAUUCAGAUUUGUCAGGCAGCAAGGAGGCAGAUUAAAUUCUCUCUAUCACUAACAGCAAGGCUGAUAGGAGAAACUCAACCAAAAGAAACAUAAGACCAAGACAUAGUUUUUAAAUCCUAUUCUUUGCUAAUUUCAAUUCACUAAGCUAGAAAUUCUUUAGGGGGAAUCUAGAGCACUAAGUCAAGGAUGCAAAUUUUCAGAUUUAGGCCUUUAUAUGUGGAAAUGGGAGAGUGGAACAAGCUUCUGUCAAGACCCACAGCUGAUGUAGGUUAUAUUAGCACUUGUAGAUGCAUAAAUGUUAACAGAUUACUAAAUCACAUCUCUAAAUAUUGCCUGAUGGUGGUAUGUUGAUAGGCCACAUUUAUACUAGUCCAAAUCUAUCUAUUUAUGUGAAGCUGUGCAUACCUAAAAAACAAACAAACAAACAAACAAACAAAAAAACAACCUGUAAGCAUUUCAUCUAGAAGCUCUUGAUCACCCAGUGGAGACUGACCACAUGCACCAGUACCCUGCUUGGUUCCCAUUUAGAGUUCCUACGGUGAAGAAGAGAAAGGAGAUCUGCAGUGUAUCACAGGAGUCCCCUUACAAGGAAGGUUAUCUGUUUAGGAGAGCUAGAGGAGAAAGUGAAGGGAAUUCCUUAAAUGUUGCAUCUUCACUAUCUGAAGAGCAGCUAACAGAUUCAGUUCUCUUGCUACUCUUUCUGGAAAUAAAGUUAAAAAUGAGAGGUGAUGGCCUUCAGUUGUGCCAGGGGAUGUUCAGGUUGGUUAUUAGGAAAAUAUUCUCAGAAAGAGUGGUGGUGCAGUGGCACAGGCUGCCCAGGGAGGUGGGGGAGUCGCUAUCCCUGGAGGUAUUCAAGAACCAUGGAGAUAUGGCACUGAGGGAUGCGGUCAGUGGGUGUAGUGGAGGUGGGCUGAUAGUAGGACUAGAUGAUUUUAGAGGUCUUUUCUUUAAAGAUACUAUGAGUCUAUGACACUGUGAUUUUCAUAAAAUGCACAGUUCUAGUUAUGGAAGAAGCAGAUAUAGUGUAUCUGACAGGUGGUGACAUUUAUCUUUCACAGUAAAUAAUCACCUGUAGUACAAGUAGAGGUAUCUGUAAUAAUACUUUACAAACAAGUUCUAGAGACAAGUUCUAACUGUUUGAAUUCACAUACUGUUUUUCAUCCAGGGACUGCAAAAUACUUUAUCACUGUGAUGGAUAUCAUUUUCCAAGGCAGAAACUAUUGGACAGAAUAUUCAAGACCUCAGCUUAUAGUUAUACAGACAGGCGGUAAUAGAAUUGGGAAUAAACUCCAUCUACCAGUUUAGAGUUGGUUUUUUGGGGGGGUUGCAGACAUCCCUACAAUAGGAAGGAAAAGAGGUUCACAAGUUUAUGCGCUGAUUACACGUUGUGUCAUCAAAUACUUUAAAAGCCCACAUGUGUGAUAGCUGGCAGAAAUGCUGGCAGAAGUACAGACUCUGAAGUGGUCAUACCAGGCCUGCUCAGAUAAGUCAUAUUCCUAUUCCAUGAAAUUAGCACGCUUAUGAGUUAUGCACUUUUGUUUGUCAGCAUUUUUCCUUAGCAUGCAUGUUCCAGAUUUCCACUACAUCAUUCAGAGGUUGGCAGGAAAGAAAAUUAAACUCUUGUGGUUGUUUUCACCACCAUACAACUUGCAAAGUCAUUUUUCAUCAAAUUUAACAGGUUAUCUGGGAAAAGACUAAUAAAUGGUGAGUGUUGCCUUUGACUUUCCCUUAGCAGAACUCAUUGUUACCUAAUUUUUGCAACAGAUUUCCUACCUCAUUUAAAACUUCAGCUAGAAGCAUUUUCCUGUUACAUAUUGCAAACAGACAUAUACAGCGACUCAAAAGCUUGGAUCGGGUUGUGCAGUCAAUAUAGCUUUUGGCAAAAGACUGGGAAGACUUCUUGCUGAAAGCUCAGAAUGAUAAAAAUAGGUCCCGAUUUUACAGUCACUGCGACAAACUGGUUUCAAAAAGCUUCACAACAGCACAAAAGGAACAAACUGGCAAAAGGGAAACGUGCUAGAUAGAUAUAUUUUUUCCCAGCAAGACUUGGGUUGACCACCUUUUGAGGCUUUCAGUGAGCUUAUAUCACUGCAUAUGGCAUGCACUGCACAAUGGAAACCAAGAAGUCAGCUUAGCAAGCAGCCAUUCUUUUCCAAAGAUUUUCUGUGAGCUCAACACAUUUAAUUCACAAUCACUUACAGAGCUUAUACAACCCCAUAAAAUAACCUACUCUCCUGAAUCAUCUCUUACCUACCAGAUAUAAUUUUCAUUAUCUUAUUUUUGUCACUUGAUCUCAUUUUUCUUGGGGUUCUAAAGGAUUUAACAACGAAAGAUAAGAAUGAGAUUAUCAGCACAAAAAUAGACAAUAAUUAAAUGUCAGUCAUGUCUGUGACAGAACAAAUGCAAUUCUGUAUCUCACUACUUUUGUUGCUGCCUGGUGCAAUACUCAUUAAAUAUUUUUACC